AGCCAGAUAGCUCAGUUGGUAGAUGAGGAAGCUCUUAAUCUCAGGGUUGUGAGUUUGAGCCUCACUUUGGGGG
rnacentral:tRNA from 1 species